rnacentral:rRNA from 1 species
AGUGAACGCUGGCGGUAGGCCUAACACAUGCAAGUCGAACGGCAGCACAGUAAGAGCUUGCUCUUACGGGUGGCGAGUGGCGGACGGGUGAGGAAUACAUCGGAAUCUACUUUUUCGUGGGGGAUAACGUAGGGAAACUUACGCUAAUACCGCAUACGACCUACGGGUGAAAGCAGGGGAUCUUCGGACCUUGCGCGAUCGAAUGAGCCGAUGUCGGAUUAGCCAGUUGGCGGGGUAAAGGCCCACCAAGGCGACGAUCCGUAGCUGGUCUGAGAGGAUGAUCAGCCACACUGGAACUGAGACACGGUCCAGACUCCUACGGGAGGCAGCAGUGGGGAAUAUUGGACAAUGGGCGCAAGCCUGAUCCAGCCAUACCGCGUGGGUGAAGAAGGCCUUCGGGUUGUAAAGCCCUUUUGUUGGGAAAGAAAAGCAGCAGGUUAAUACCCCGCUGUUCUGACGGUACCCAAAGAAUAAGCACCGGCUAACUUCGUG